rfam:Triticum aestivum genome assembly, contig: Triticum_aestivum_CS42_TGACv1_scaffold_591966_7BS
AUGGUACUCCCUCCGUUCGGAAUUACUUGUCGCGAAAAUGGAUGUAUCUAGACGUAUUUUAGUUCUAGAUACAUCCAUUUCUGAGACAAAUAAUUCCGAACGGAGGGAGUAGAUG